AUCGACGGUCAAUUGAUCCAAACGACCGAACAAUGGGUAAAAACAAUGGACCUAAUUUCACUCCAUUGCUGUGUUUGAGUUGAUAAGGAUCAGUUGGAUUCUUCGUUGAUCAAAAGUGCCAUGGUUGAGAAUAUUUAAAAAAAAAUGGGAAUAUCUACAUCAAACACUUGUUUUGAGAGAAAACUUGGAAAACCAGGGGAGAAGAUGUGAUUUUCAAGUUCAACGCAGAUUGACUUCAUAUUGCAUCACAGAGGCUCCAUCGGAUUCGAAACCAAAUGAUGGAUUGGUUCUCAAGAUUGAAAUGUCAGUCUGGAAUCACAUGCAUACCUAUAAAUCAUAUUAUAUUUGAUACAAUAUGAAUAUAAAUAUCAAGGUUAUAUUUGUUGAA